rnacentral:rRNA from 1 species
CCUACGGGAGGCUGCAGUGAGGAAUAUUGGUCAAUGGACGAGAGUCUGAACCAGCCAAGUAGCGUGAAGGAUGACUGCCCUAUGGGUUGUAAACUUCUUUUAUCUGGGAGUAAAAUGUUCCACGUGUGGCAUUCUGUAAGUACCAGAAGAAUAAGGAUCGGCUAACUCCGUGCCAGCAGCCGCGGUAAUACGGAGGAUGCGAGCGUUAUCCGGAUUUAUUGGGUUUAAGGGGUUCGAAGGUGGAUGUUCAAGUCAGUGGUAAAAUUUGGAGGCUCAACCUGAACAUGCAGUUGAAACUGGUUGUCUUGAGUAAAGUAGAGGUGUGCGGAAUGCGUGGUGUAGCGGUGAAAUGCUUAGAUAUCACGCAGAACUCCGAUUGCGAAGGCAGUACACUGG